rnacentral:rRNA from 1 species
UACGUAGGGGGCAAGCGUUGUCCGGAUUUAUUGGGCGUAAAGAGCGUGUAGGCGGCCAGACAGGUCCGUUGUGAAAACUGGAGGCUCAACCUCCAGACGUCGAUGGAAACCGUCUGGCUAGAGUCCGGAAGAGGAGAGUGGAAUUCCUGGUGUAGCGGUGAAAUGCGCAGAUAUCAGGAAGAACACCCGUGGCGAAAGCGGCUCUCUGGGACGAUACUGACGCUGAGACGCGAAAGCGUGGGGAGCGAACAGG